rnacentral:rRNA from 1 species
CACAUGCAGUCGAGCGAAUGCGAUUAAGAGCUUGCUCUUAUGAAGUUAGCGGCGGACGGGUGAGUAACACGUGGGUAACCUGCCCAUAAGACUGGGAUUACUCCGGGAAACCGGGGCUAAUACCGGAUAACAUUUUGCACAGCAUGGAGCGAAAUUGAAAGGCCGCUUCGGCUGUCACUUAUGGAUGGACCCGCGUCGCAUUAGCUAGUUGGUGAGGUAACGGCUCACCAAGGCAACGAUGCGUAGCCAACCUGAGAGGGUGAUCGGCCACACUGGGACUGAGACACGGCCCAGACUCCUACGGGAGGCAGCAUUAGGGAAUCUUCCGCAAUGGACGAAAGUCUGACGGAGCAACGCCGCGUGAGUGAUGAAGGCUUUCGGGUCGUAAAACUCUGUUGUUAGGGAAGAACAAGUGCUAGUUGAAUAAGCUGGCACCUUGACGGUACCUAACCAGAAAGCCACGGCUAACUACGUGCCAGCAACCGCGGUAAUACGUAGGUGGCAAGCGUUAUCCGGAAUUAUUGGGCGUAAAGCGCGCGCAGGUGGUUUCUUAAGUCUGAUGUGAAAGCCCACGGCUCAACCGUGGAGGGUCAUUGGAAACUGGGAGACUUGAGUGCAGAAGAGGAAAGUGGAAUUCCAUGUGUAUGCGGUGAAAUGCGUAGAGAUAUGGAGGAACACCAGUGGCGAAGGCGACUUUCUGGUCUGUAACUGACACUGAGGCGCGAGAGCGUGGGGAGCAAUACA